CGCGGCCUAUCAGCUUGUUGGUGAGGUAAAGGCUCACCAAGGCAUUGACGGGUAGCUGGUCUGAGAGGACGAUCAGCCACACUGGGACUGAGACACGGCCCAGACUCCUGCGGGAGGCAGCAGUGGGGAAUCUUGCGCAAUGGGCGAAAGCCUGACGCAGCAACGCCGCGUGGGGGAUGAAGGCUCUCGGGUUGUAAACCCCUUUCAGCAGGGACGAAAUUGACGGUACCUGUAGAAGAAGCCCCGGCCAACUACGUGCCAGCAGCCGCGGUAACACGUAGGGGGCGAGCGUUGUCCGGAAUUAUUGGGCGUAAAGGGCUCGUAGGCGGUUCGGUAAGUCAGAUGUGAAAGGUUGGGGCUCAACCCUAAGACUGCAUUUGAUACUGCCGUGACUGGAGUCCGGUAGAGGAGUGUGGAAUUCCUGGUGUAGCGGUGAAAUGCGCAGAUAUCAGGAGGAACACCAACGGCGAAGGCAGCACUCUGGGCCGGUACUGACGCUGAGGAGCGAAAGCGUGGGUAGCAAACAGGAUUAGAUACCCUGGUAGUCCACGCCGUAAACGUUGGGCACUAGGUGUGGGACCUUAUCAACGGGUUCCGUGCCGUAGCUAACGCAUUAAGUGCCCCGCCUGGGGAGUACGG
rnacentral:rRNA from 1 species